GAUGAAGAACGUAGCGAAAUGCGAUACUUGGUGUGAAUUGCAGAAUCCCGUGAACCAUCGAGUCUUUGAACGCAAGUUGCGCCCGAAGCCACUAGGCCGAGGGCACGCCUGCCGGGGCGUCACACGCCGUUGCCCCCCCAUCUACUCCUUCGGGAUUGCGGGGGGGCGGAUGAUGGCCUCCCGUGCGCCUAGCCGCGCGGUUGGCAUAAAUACCAAGUCCUCGGCGACGCACGCCACGACAAUCGGUGGUUGCGAAACCUCGGUUGCCCGUCGUGUGCGUUCGUCGCGCAUCGAGGGCUCGAAAAAAUGCUCGGCUCCGGCUGGGCUUUCAACGCGACCCCAGGUCAGGCGGGGUUACCCGCUGAAUUUAAGCAUAUCAAUAAGCGGAGGA
rnacentral:misc_RNA from 1 species